AAACAAUGUCGAGGACAUUUCUGCAAUAGCUCAUUCAACCUAUCACAUAUUUCAAAAAGAGACUCCAAUUCCAUUUGGACAAAGGAGGAUAUUUCAUUCCUGAGCUU